AGUGAACGCUGGCGGUAGGCCUAACACAUGCAAGUCAAACGGCAGCACAGUAAGAGCUUGCUCGUACGGGUGGCGAGUGGCGGACGGGUGAGGAAUACAUCGGAAUCUACUUUUUCGUGGGGGAUAACGUAGGGAAACUUACGCUAAUACCGCAUACGACCUACGGGUGAAAGCAGGGGAUCUUCGGACCUUGCGCGAUUGAAUGAGCCGAUGUCGGAUUAGCUAGUUGGCGGGGUAACGGCCCACCAAGGCGACGAUCCGUAGCUGGUCUGAGAGGAUGAUCAGCCACACUGGAACUGAGACACGGUCCAGACUCCUACGGGAGGCAGCAGUGGGGAAUAUUGGACAAUGGGCGCAAGCCUGAUCCAGCCAUACCGCGUGGGUGAAGAAGGCCUUCGGGUUGUAAAGCCCUUUUGUUGGGAAAGAAAAGCAGCAGGUUAAUACCCCGCUGUUCUGACGGUACCCAAAGAAUAAGCACCGGCUAACUUCGUG
rnacentral:rRNA from 1 species